rnacentral:rRNA from 1 species
GACGAACGCUGGCGGCGUGCUUAACACAUGCAAGUCGAACGGAAAGGCCCUGCUUUUGUGGGGUGCUCGAGUGGCGAACGGGUGAGUAACACGUGAGUAACCUGCCCUUGACUUUGGGAUAACUUCAGGCAACUGGGGCUAAUACCGGAUAGGAGCUCCUGCUGCAUGGUGGGGGUUGGAAAGUUUCGGCGGUUGGGGGUGGACUCGCGGCUUAUCAGCUUGUUGGUGGGGUGGUGGGUUAACAAGGCUUUAACGGGUCGGCGGCCUGGGAGGGUGACCGGCCACAUUGGGACUGAGAUACAGCCCCGACUCCUCCGGGAGGCAGCAGUGUGGAAUAUUGCACAAUGGGCGGAAGCCUGAUGCAGCAACGCCGCGUGCGGGAUGACGGCCUUCGGGUUGUAAACCGCUUUCGCCUGUGACGAAGCGUGAGUGACGGUAAUGGGUAAAGAAGCACCGGCUAACUACGUG